GUGGAAUGAAUGGUCCCCCCUGCAGCUCAGCCUCAUCUCCUUAAUGGAUCCUAAUUACCCCUGUCCUGCUUAUAGCUUCUCUCCAGGACCCACUUGUCAGGAUGAUGGAUGAGGUGACUGGGAGGUGGGGCCAGCUGGGACUGGAGGAAUCCCCCCACUGUCUAGUAGGGCGGGGACGCAGGAACUUUCAGUCAGUCCCAAAGAUUCUGAGGAAGAGAAGACAACAUUGCAGGAUGAGCUCUUCUCCCCUUUUGUCCCCAAAACUUGGGCCAGUUCUAGCAAACUCAUACACCACUCCAGUAGCCCUGUGUAGAGGCCCACAUGGAGAGGAACAAAAUUGCCAGCACUAACUCAUGAGGCAUAUGAGUGAACCAACUUAAGAGCAUAUCCUCCAGCCCUGGUCAAGCCUUCAGAUGACUUCAGUCCCUCAGCCCUCAUGUGCUCCAGUUGAGGCCCCAGACAUCAUGGAGCAGAGGAGCCUUGGACACCUACUUGCAAGUCCUCAGGAGGAUAGGCUAUUGGAGAUCUGGGUUCCAAACACAGAGAUACUGGAAUGAAGAAGACAGCGGCUCUCUGAUGAGCUUUCUGGGGUUUGGAAGAGUUCAGGUCUUGAGGCCAGGGAGUUCGGUUUGCCCUCACAGCUGCCCCGUCCAUUCCCACAGUCACCCCACACUGUACAUCGUCCUGUGGCCAUGCUGAUGGUGCCUCCAGAGGCCGUGGCUUCUCCAUCUCAGGCUGAGGAAUGCUCUCUCCUCAGGAGCUCCCUCGUAUCUCAGAAGAAAUUGCCUCUGGAAGGAACACAGUUGGAUUCAAGAUCUUCACUCUCUAUCAACAUACCGGGGGAGUUGGGGGCUGAGAGAAUCAUUGAUCAUGAAGGUGUCGCUUGCCAGGAAGACCUGAAGCAGAGAUGGCAAUGCUUGUGUCAUCCCCAGAGCCAACUCUAAUGGCAUUUGAAGCUCAACUCUGGGUCCUCUGGCUGGGCCAAAACCCCUGCAUCAUCCCCACACGUCGGCUCGCUGAGCCAUUGUCUGUUGUGGUACCCUGGAGUUGCUGGUUGCUAUGGGCCUGGAGGCCUUGUUCCUGCUCAAAGCAGCCAACACACGACUAAGCAAAGACCGUAUGUCUCAAGGACACCAGGCCAAGGCACCAGUCUACUCAAGGAAUUUAAUCGGGAUCCUAAUGAGUCACAGAGGGUGGUGCUGAGACCUGGGCCCAUCACAGCAUCGUUCACGGCUCUGGAAACAGUGAGGCUAUGUGUGCAGGAGAGACACGGUGGAAUGAGGAGGGACAGGGAGGAUGCUCGUGGCAGGAGGAGCACAGGCAGAAGC
rnacentral:lncRNA from 10 species